rnacentral:rRNA from 1 species
CGUGGGCAACCUGCCCUGUAGACUGGGAUAACUUUGGGAAACCGAAGCUAAUACCGGAUAAUCGUAGAAGUUGCAUAGCUUCUAUGUAAAAGUUGGGUUUACCUAACACUACAGGAUGGGCCCGCGUCGCAUUAGCUAGUUGGUAAGGUAACGGCUUACCAAGGCGACGAUGCGUAGCCGACCUGAGAGGGUGAUCGGCCACACUGGGACUGAGACACGGCCCAGACUCCUACGGGAGGCAGCAGUAGGGAAUCUUCCGCAAUGGACGAAAGUCUGACGGAGCAACGCCGCGUGAGCGAUGAAGGCCUUCGGGUCGUAAAGCUCUGUUGUUAGGGAAGAACAAGUGCUAUUCGAAUAGAGUGGCACCUUGACGGUACCUAACGAGAAAGCCACGGCUAACUACGUGCCAGCAGCCGCGGUAAUACGUAGGUGGCAAGCGUUGUCCGGAAUUAUUGGGCGUAAAGCGCGCGCAGGCGGUAUCUUAAGUCUGAUGUGAAAGCCCACGGCUCAACCGUGGAGGGUCAUUGGAAACUGGGAUACUUGAGUACAGAAGAGGAGAGUGGAAUUCCAUGUGUAGCGGUGAAAUGCGUAGA